rfam:Aspergillus kawachii IFO 4308 DNA, contig: contig01370.
UAGUAGCAAAUACUCAAAUGAGAACUUUGAGGACUGAAGUGGGGAAAGGUUCCAUGUGAACAGCAGUUGGACAUGGGUUAGUCGAUCCUAAGGCAUAGGGAAGUUCCGUUUGAAAGGCGCCCUCGUGCGCCGUGUGCCGAAAGGGAAGCCGGUUAAUAUUCCGGCACCUGGAUGUGGAUUCUCCACGGCAACGUAACUGAACGCGGAGACAUCGGCGGGGGUCCUGGGAAGAGUUCUCUUUUCUUCUUGACGGCCUAUCACCCUGAAAUCGGUUUGUCCGGAGCUAGGGUUCCACGGCCGGCAGAGCCCUGC